UUAACAGGGUUAUAAUUGCAACUAAAAUGUACCAAAUUGCAUAUUUAAGGCCUUGCAAACGUCAGAUGUCACUUAAGGCAUCUUUCUGAUAAUUUUAUCGAGGCAAAGUGAUGAUGAGAGUGAUACUAAGUUUUCUGCUUUUGUAUCUUUUUAACAACAUCUGUAUAUAACCUAGUGAUCCAGGGGAAAGUUUUAAGAGAAAAACAAUAUGAAACGUCAAUAACUAUAUUAGGAUGAUAACGGAACAGAAUACGAAAACGUUGCUCCUUUUCUGUGACAUCCAUACUCUCCAUACGACGGGUCAAAGGCGGAGUUAAGGCCAUCGCUAUGGUACAGAAUACCAGCAAGCGCCACCCUGCAAAAACAAUAAAUACAUACCCAUGCUGAACCUAACUUUAAUGUGCAUUAAAUCAUUAACUUCAUAGGCUAUUUAGCACUGUAUCAGGGUUGUCAACAUGUCUACAUCACAUCAGUCAUGUCAGGCAUACAAAUCCAACACAAACAUAAUACAUGCAACUUGCUCAGAGAUUUUGGUGCACAUAGAUGACUCUAGAGCUACAACUGUAUCAUGAAAACGAGUUUCAUAGAACAGUGACAUUCUUAUACAUGGCUACGACAAAUGAGUGCCACUCAGUAAGUUAGAGGCAUGAGUGCCUUCCCAGCCCACCCAGGUGUUGCUCCCGGUUGAGUUUUUCUUUUUUUCCUAAUAAAUGGCGACAAAAGAGCCUGAUGGAAAUCCUUAUAUGCUAAGCCAUCAGGCCAGAUGCAACAAAUUCAUAUUCAACCAAUGAGGAAGAAAGCAAAACUGUGUAAAACCACACCAUCGCAUACGAAAUGACAAUAUUAUGCAGAGCAGAUAAAAAAUUACAUUACCAGCGUCUAACGGAACGGCGCAGUCGAGGAUAAUUAAAGUUUGUACCACUUACAUGUUGCAAAAUUUAAUGCCUUUUCCAGCUCACGAGCUUUUCGCCAGUCAUCCCCAAUCUGGCUUCGCACGUGUUAUUCUGAUACGGAAACACC
rnacentral:lncRNA from 1 species